ACUCCAAAAAAUAACUGCUAUGAUUGCAGUUCAUGACAGUUUCCUUACCUGGUGGUUACCUCCACCAUUUUCUAGCCCAUGUCUCCACAACUCAAUCUCCUACAAACCUGGGUAGUGCUCUAAAGUCAGUUGAGGAGGUAUUAUUAUAUAAUGUACCUUAGAAGCAAUAGUUCAUAUCUUUAAAUCUAAUGUUAUUCAAGGGUUCGGCUUUUGGAAGGGGAAAAAUAGGAGAAUCAAAUACACUCUGUUUGGGCAGGAACAAAUCCGAUGUAUCUUCAGGUAUCGCUUGGGAAUAUGCAUCAAUUUAGCCAAGCAGAACAGAGCAAACACUAUGGCAGAUAGCAAUGACAUUGAGGACCAGAUGGAUCAGAGGUUGGCAACUAUGAGGAGAUGGAUGAAUGAUGAUGAUGUUGAAGAGUAGUUAAGAGGAAAAAGCUGAUGAUGAUCAUGGUAAAGAAAAGCAUGUUGGGCUGCUUACUUUGCCACCACAUGGUUCUGAGAUUUUCAUUGGGAGGCUUUCUAAGGAUGUGGUUGAGGAAGAUUGAGUGAAUUUUGUGAACCUUUUGGGGAUGUUGUUUAGGUCAGCUCUAACGGUAAGUUUGGUGAGAUAUAUGGAGACCAAUGAAGGUAAGGGUUUUGCAUUUGUGGCAUUUAGAAGUAAAGAUGAUGUUCAAAAGGCCAUUGAAGAACUACAUAACAAAGAUUUUAAAGUAUAAAGCUAUAAACUUUUGCUUAUUUGUUAGGCAUUUUCUGGAUUUGGUACUCAGUUUUAUGAUGUUCUUUGCAUGGUACGGGCUUCAGGUGUUCACUCUCUGAAUACAUAUACAGACAAUUCAUAGGUAAUGUGCCAAAGACUUGGACUGAUGAUGAGUUCAGAAAAGUAAUUGAGGAAAUAGGCCUAGGUUCAGAAGUGUCAUUGAGAGCUUAUAAAGGUGGAAUCGGUGGUGUUGGUUAUGGAAUGCCAUAUAUUUUUUGCUUAUAUUAUGAUCAAUUUACAUGGGAAACUUGGUUUCCGUGUGUUGCCCGGGUUGCUCUUGUGUCAUGGGGAUUUUAGAUAUGGGGAGCACUUUAUUAUAUAUAUAUAUAUAUAUAUAUAUUGGUCUACAAAAUUAUGCAACCUGUACAGUGUCUUGGAUCUUUACAGAUGUAUAAUGAUUCAUGUUUCUAAAUAUUUUAGUGUAUUUGGUUUUUAUUUGUUGUAGGUGUGGAUCAUACAUAGCCAAUCAAGGGAAAAAAAGGCUUUGUAAGAAAAAAUGUUGUUGCUUGAGGGCUCACAUAAUUAUGCAUUUUCAUCCGCGUAUAGUCCCCCUAUUACACGAUCCCUAGCCCAGUAAGUACAUAGACCCUUUCUUUGCUUUUGAGUUUUGACUACACUUGAAGCAAGUGUAAGUUUAUUUAUAAUGUAGCUUUAAAGUUACAUGAACUUUUUAUAAUUCACAUAUCCUACUUUUCUAAAUUUUGGUUCUUUUAAUGCUAAGGAUCUUAGCAACAACAUUUACAAUGAACUUCCAUACAGGUUGCCUUUAAAUCUAACACACUUGUAAGUUUCACUCCAGAUAAAUUUACUAGGUGUGUCAAUCGUGUAGGGUUAGCGGGUUGUGGCUUGGCGAGUUGCAGGUUGACGGGUUGAUGGGUUGAUUGUGGAACACGAACUAUAUCUUUAUUCAUGUCAAAAUCCGGAUACACAUAAUUUGGGUCAAAUCGAACACAACCCAUUUUUACCAAUUUGCUAAAUAAUUAUUUGGAAUUUGAGAAACAUAUAUAAAUCCUAAGAUUUGGAUUCCGGUUGAUAUAGACCAAUACUGUCUCUUCCUUGCAUAACUUUAUAUAGUAUGAUAGUCGGGUCGGAUAAUGCGUAAAAACAAGUCAUGUUUCAUUAUGCUAUUACCCAUUGUAGAUAACAUAACCCAAUUUAUUUCUCUAAUCGUAAUAACCUAUUGGUGGUCAUUG